GGGGAUGUAGUUCAGUGGUAGAACGCUCGCUUUGCAUUGAGUUGUAGAAUGCGAGAGGCCCGGGUUUCGAUCACCCGCGUCUCCA